AGAAUAGUGCGCAAGAGCAACAUGGGUUGGGCCACAAAACCAGAAAUAAUAAUAACAAUAAAACAGAGUUGCGAAAAAGAAAAGAAAACUAAAAACUAAUAUAUAUAUAUACCGCUAUACCAAGUUGUUGGGGAUUUCUAAUAAGGGAUAGCUGACACACCACUGGUAGAGACCUUUUCCAUGUGUCUGGUAUGUUAGGGAAUGGGGUCUACUAAUAAAAUAAAUAUCAAUACAUUUUAUUUUCUUAAUGUGAUUUUUGGUAAAUCUAUUAAUAUAAAAAUAUAAAAUACAUAUAUAUAUUUUUAGAUUAUUGUUUAUAGGCACACUCAAAGUGUUUUAUAUUUGAAGGAUCCCUCAUACCUCUUUCACUACACACAGGAGAAAUAAGAGAGAGAGAAAGAAAGAGAGAAAGAAAGGCAUAUGUAGAUGGAGAAAGAAAAUAAGAAGAAGAAUUUGAACAAGGGGAAAGAAAAGUAGUGCAACUAGAGAAAGCAUCCAAAGGGAUCGCAUUGAUCCAUCCUCAUAUCUAUGUUUAUAUAUAUAUAUUAUUCAUCUUCUAAUUAUUAUUCCGUCCCAUUGUUUUGGAUCGAUCAUGCUAUCCCUUUGGAUUCCUCCUUUGGUCACUUAUCACUCCAUUUUUUAACAUUAAUUUCUGGAGAAGACUGGUCGAACUACCAGCAAAAAAAACGGUGGUAAUAAAUUAUGGGAAAAAAUUCUUAUAAUCUUUUUUCCAAAAUCAAUUAAGGUGAUAUCCUUUGAUGAGAUGAGUCCUCAUGAUUAUGCAGAGUUGAAUCUAACUAAGUGGAAGGUAGUUUUUAUUAGUGAUUCUAAUAACAUUAAUGGGAAUAAAACAGUGGGAGCUCCCACUGUAGAAAGUAGUCGUGGGACUAUUGCAAAGGCCAUAGUUGCUGGUAUAGCAAAAGAUGUAUAAAUAAUAUUUAUAUAAUAAUUAUUUCAAAGAUGCCAGCAUAUAGUUGACAAUAUUUCUGGCCCAUUAUUAUCGGAAGCUUUUCAUCAUUACAACCUUCCAACAAUUUGAUUUCACCUUUUGUCAAAAAGUAACUUUAUGUAGAUCAGAAGUUACCUAUUAUAUAUGAGUAACUCUCUCCUCUCUACACAUGAUGAGAACUACCA